rnacentral:rRNA from 1 species
UACGAAGGGGGCUAGCGUUAAUCGGAAUUACUGGGCGUAAAGCGUGCGCAGGCGGCUUUGCAAGACGGAUGUGAAAUCCCCGGGCUCAACCUGGGAACUGCAUUUGUGACUGCAAGGCUAGAGUACGGUAGAGGGGGAUGGAAUUCCGCGUGUAGCAGUGAAAUGCGUAGAUAUGCGGAGGAACACCGAUGGCGAAGGCAAUCCCCUGGACCUGUACUGACGCUCAUGCACGAAAGCGUGGGGAGCAAACAGG